rnacentral:rRNA from 1 species
GGAUAACCGUGGUAAUUCUAUGGCUAAUACAUGCGCAAAUAUCCUUUUUCGCAAGAAAGAGGAUAGUGUUUAUUAGAUACAGAACCAAUACACCAUCUGUUUAUCAGGUGGUGUAAAAAAGGUGAUUCAUAGUAACCGAACGGAUCGCAUUAUGGUCAUUUUAUAUGGCUGGCGAUAGAUCAUUCAAGUUUCUGACCUAUCAGCUUUCGACGGUAGUGUAUUGGACUACCGUGGCAGUGACGGGUAACGGGGAAUUAGGGUUCGAUUCCGGAGAGGGAGCCUGAGAAACGGCUACCACAUCUAAGGAAGGCAGCAGGCGCGCAAAUUACCCAAUCCUGACUCAGGGAGGUAGUGACAAGAAAUAACAACACUGGAAAUUUUAUUUCUAGUGAUUGGAAUGAUGGGAAUUUAAACCCCUUUCAGAGUAACAAUUGGAGGGCAAGUCUGGUGCCAGCAGCCGCGGUAAUUCCAGCUCCAAUAGCGUAUAUUAAAGUUGUUGCAGUUAAAAAGCUCGUAGUUGGAUGUCUGCUGGAAGCAAUCAGUCCGCCCUAUUUGUAGGGUGUGCACUUGAUGAAUUCUGGCAUCUAUGUCCCAAUAAUGUGGUGGUGUAUACCCUGUGUAUUACCCAUCUAUAUUGGGAUAAUACCGUUACUUUGAGAAAAUUAGAGUGUUUGAAGCAGGCUAAUUGCCUUGAAUACUGCAGCAUGGAAUAACAAUAUAGGAUUUCGGUUCUAUUUUGUUGGUUUCUAGGACUGAAAUAAUGAUUAAUAGGGACAGUUGGGGGCAUUCGUAUUUAACUGUCAGAGGUGAAAUUCUUAGAUUUGUUAAAGACGAACUACUGCGAAAGCAUUUGCC